rnacentral:tRNA from 1 species
GCAUUGGUGAUUCAGUGGUAGAAUUCUCACCUUCCAAGUGGGAGGCCUGGGUUCGAUCCUAGCCAAUGUA